rnacentral:rRNA from 1 species
GGCGGGCGACUGCCGUUACACAUGCGAAGUCGGACGGGAAGGUGGUGGUUUCCGUACGUAGGCGGAACGGGUCGGAGGUAACGACCGUAAGAAACCGAACCCUUACGGGAGGGGGAACGAACAAGCUGGAAACGGACUGCUAAUACCCCGUACGGCGUGAGGAGGCAAAAGGAGGAAUCCGCCCGAGGAGGGGCGUCGCGUCUGAUUAGCUAGUUGGUGAGGCAAUAGCUUACCAAGGCGAUGAUCAGUAGCUGGUCCGAGAGGAUGAUCAGCCACACUGGGACUGAGACACGGCCCAGACUCCUACGGGAGGCAGCAGUGGGGAACUUUCCGCAAUGGACGAAAGCCUGACGGAGCAAUGCCGCGUGAAGGUAGAAGGCCUACGGGUCAUGAACUUCUUUUCCCGGAGAAGAAGCAAUGACGGUAUCCGGGGAAUAAGCAUCGGCUAACUCUGUG